UGUAUCUUUGUGUCCUUUCACACUGAACAGACUUUGCUGUUACCUGGAGCUGACUGCUUGGAAUGGCUGGAGAAGGUCAGCUUAUGGAAGCUGGAACUGAGGACAUGUGAAAAAAAUCUCUGCUCCCAAAAUAAGCGUGACGUAAGGUCAACCUUGGCCCUGUUGAGUGUAUUAUAGAGGGGAAUGGAUAAGCCAACUGUGGCAAAUCCAUACCCUGGAAUACUACUCAGUGGUAAAAAGGAAUGAACCGUUGAUGUGCCCACCAACAUGAAUGGAUCUCCAAAUAAUUAUGCUGAGUGCAAGAAACCACAUGAAAACAAGAGUGUACCCUGUAUGAUUCCAUUCAUCUGCAAAACUCAGACUAAUCCACAGUGACAGAAAUCAGAUCAGUGAUUACCUAGGAAUGGGAAAUAGGGAAGGGCAGGAUGGAGAAAUUACAACAUGGCAUGUUGUAAUGAGGUAACAUUUGGGAAUGAUGGAUACGUUCGUUAUCUGGAUUAUGGUAAUGGUUUCACGAGUGUAUACACAUGUCAAAACUUAUUAGAUUGUAUGUUUUAAAAUGUUCAGCUUAUUGUAGGUCACUUAAAUAAAGGUUAAAAGAAAUCUUUAUCAAAUCUUAA